GUUUAAGUAGUUUAUUAAAAACAUAUCACUGAAGAUGAUAAGUAGGGAGACCCUCGAACA
rnacentral:tRNA from 1 species